rnacentral:ncRNA from 1 species
CAGUGAAGCAUCUCUCCAGCCCCUGGAAAUAGAAAUUCUUAAAAACUCAAGAUACGCGGGAAAUGUGGCGUACAGAAGACCCAGGGGAGCCCAAGUCCUUCUGAUCGAGGCCCAGCCCGUGGACGGUGUGAGGCUGGUAGCGCCGGGAUCAGGUCUUCCCAGAGUUGGGUUGCUUGGGAAUGCAGCCCAAAGCAGGUGGUAAACUCCAUCUAAGGCUAAAUACCGGCACGAGACUGAUAAUAAGGGAAAGUUGAAAAGAACUUUAAAGAGAGAGUUCAAGAGGGCGUGAAACCGUUAAGAGGUUUGGGUGGGGUCCACGCAGUUCAACCGGAGGAAAACAACAACAACAACAACCUCAAGAUAUAGAACCUGUUCAUCAAGGCUGGAAAUUGUCGAUCCACGUGAGGAACCUCAACCUCUAAGUAUGAAACCUAUAGUUCUAUAUUCAGCUUGAACUUUCUAAGUACUGUUCUUGCUCUUUUGGCAUAUAAUAUGGUCUUCCACAUAACCCUCUAUAUAGGCUUGGGGGCUUUGUCCUCUGAAUAUGAAAUCUUA